UGAGUAAUUCUAUAAUACUAUAGAAAAUUUUAUGUUAAAACUAGUAACAAGAAGAAGACCCUUCUCUUAAAUGUAAGUGUUAUUCAGAAAGGACAAACCACUGAUACUUAACAUCCCUGAACCAAAAGUAACAACUAACCUAGAAAACUCUACCAUAAUCGACGUUAACCUAACACAAGCACAUUUUAAGAAAGAUUAAAAGAAAAAGAAGGAACUCGGCAAACAUUAACCCCGCCUGUUUACCAAAAACAUCGCCUCUUGAAACCAAUAAGAGGUCCAGCCUGCCCAGUGACUCUGUUCAACGGCCGCGGUAUCCUAACCGUGCGAAGGUAGCGUAAUCACUUGUUCUUUAAAUGAGGACUAGUAUGAAUGGCACCACGAAGGUUAUACUGUCUCCUUUUUUUAAUCAGUGAAACUAAUCUCCCCGUGAAGAAGCGGGAAUAAGAUUAUAAGACGAGAAGACCCUAUGGAGCUUUAAACAAUAUAGCACUUACCCUAUACACAAAUUUUUUAUCAUUAAACUAUUUUAAUAAGAUGACUAUAAGUUUUUGGUUGGGGUGACCACGGAGCAUAACAAAACCUCCACGUUGAAAAAAUUUAUUUUAAGCUAAGAAUCACCAACCUAAGCAUCAAUAUCUUGACAUCCAUUGACCCAAUACUUUUGAACAACGAACCAAGUUACCCUAGGGAUAACAGCGCAAUCCACUUUAAGAGCCCAUAUCGACAAGUGGGUUUACGACCUCGAUGUUGGAUCAGGGUCUCCAAGUGGUGCAGCCGCUACUAAAGGUUCGUYUGUUCAACGAUUAAAACCCUACGUGAUCUGAG
rnacentral:rRNA from 1 species